UGGCGGACGGGUGAGUAACGCGUGGGUAACCUGCCUUGUACUGGGGGACAACAGUUAGAAAUGACUGCUAAUACCGCAUAAGCGCACAGUAUCGCACGAUACCGUGUGAAAAACUCCGGUGGUACAAGAUGGACCCGCGUCUGAUUAGCUAGUUGGUAAGGUAACGGCUUACCAAGGCGACGAUCAGUAGCCGACCUGAGAGGGUGACCGGCCACAUUGGGACUGAGACACGGCCCAA
rnacentral:rRNA from 1 species